rnacentral:tRNA from 1 species
GAGGGUAUAGCUUAGUGGUAGAGUGUGUGCUUAGCAUGCAUGAGGUCAUGGGUUCAAUCCCCAGUACCUCUG